AUUGAACGCUGGCGGCAGGCUUAACACAUGCAAGUCGAGCGGUAACAGAGAGAAGCUUGCUUCUCUGCUGACGAGCGGCGGACGGGUGAGUAAUGCCUAGGAAUCUGCCUAGUAGUGGGGGAUAACUUGCCGAAAGGUAAGCUAAUACCGCAUACGUCCUACGGGAGAAAGGAGGGGACCUUCGGGCCUUUCGCUAUUAGAUGAGCCUAGGUCGGAUUAGUUAGUUGGUGAGGUAAUGGCUCACCAAGACCGCGAUCCGUAACUGGUCUGAGGGGAUGAUCAGUCACACUGGAACUGAGAAGCGGUCCAGACUCCUACGGGAGGCAGCAGUGGGGAAUAUUGGACAAUGGGAGGAACCCUGAGCCAGCCAUGCCGCGUGUGUGAAGAAGGGCUUAGGAUUGUAAAGCACUUUAAGUUGGGAGGAAGAGCAGUUAACUAAUAUUUGACUGUUUUGACGUUACCGACAGAAUAAGCACCGGCUAACUUCGUGCCAGCCGCCGCGGUAA
rnacentral:rRNA from 1 species